AGUUUGAUCAUGGCUCAGAUUGAACGCUGGCGGCAGGCCUAACACAUGCAAGUCGAGCGGCAGCGGAAAGUAGCUUGCUACUUUGCCGGCGAGCGGCGGACGGGUGAGUAAUGUCUGGGAAACUGCCUGAUGGAGGGGGAUAACUACUGGAAACGGUAGCUAAUACCGCAUAACGUCGCAAGACCAAAGAGGGGGACCUUCGGGCCUCUUGCCAUCAGAUGUGCCCAGAUGGGAUUAGCUAGUAGGUGGGGUAACGGCUCACCUAGGCGACGAUCCCUAGCUGGUCUGAGAGGAUGACCAGCCACACUGGAACUGAGACACGGUCCAGACUCCUACGGGAGGCAGCAGUGGGGAAUAUUGCACAAUGGGCGCAAGCCUGAUGCAGCCAUGCCGCGUGUAUGAAGAAGGCCUUCGGGUUGUAAAGUACUUUCAGCGGGGAGGAAGGUGCUGAGGUUAAUAACCUCAGCAAUUGACGUUACCCGCAGAAGAAGCACCGGCUAACUCC
rnacentral:rRNA from 1 species